rnacentral:rRNA from 1 species
AGUGAACGCUGGCGGUAGGCCUAACACAUGCAAGUCGAACGGCAGCACAGUAAGAGCUUGCUCUUACGGGUGGCGAGUGGCGGACGGGUGAGGAAUACAUCGGAAUCUACUUUUUCGUGGGGGAUAACGUAGGGAAACUUACGCUAAUACCGCAUACGACCUACGGGUGAAAGCAGGGGAUCUUCGGACCUUGCGCGAUUGAAUGAGCCGAGGUCGGAUUAGCUAGUUGGCGGGGUAAAGGCCCACCAAGGCGACGAUCCGUAGCUGGUCUGAGAGGAUGAUCAGCCACACUGGAACUGAGACACGGUCCAGACUCCUACGGGAGGCAGCAGUGGGGAAUGUUGGACAAUGGGCGCAAGCCUGAUCCAGCCAUACCGCGUGGGUGAAGAAGGCCUUCGGGUUGUAAAGCCCUUUUGUUGGGAAAGAAAAGCAGCAGGUUAAUACCCCGCUGUUCUGACGGUACCCAAAGAAUAAGCACCGGCUAACUUCGUG